CAAGGUUAAAACUCAAAUGAAUUGACGGGGGCCCGCACAAGCGGUGGAGCAUGUGGUUUAAUUCGAUGCAACGCGAAGAACCUUACCUACUCUUGACAUCCAGAGAACUUUCCAGAGAUGGAUUGGUGCCUUCGGGAACUCUGAGACAGGUGCUGCAUGGCUGUCGUCAGCUCGUGUUGUGAAAUGUUGGGUUAAGUCCCGCAACGAGCGCAACCCUUAUCCUUUGUUGCCAGCGGUUAGGCCGGGAACUCAAAGGAGACUGCCAGUGAUAAACUGGAGGAAGGUGGGGAUGACGUCAAGUCAUCAUGGCCCUUACGAGUAGGGCUACACACGUGCUACAAUGGCGCAUACAAAGAGAAGCGACCUCGCGAGAGCAAGCGGACCUCAUAAAGUGCGUCGUAGUCCGGAUUGGAGUCUGCAACUCGACUCCAUGAAGUCGGAAUCG
rnacentral:rRNA from 1 species